rnacentral:lncRNA from 1 species
AUGGGUGUUAGGGUUCCCUUACUUCUUGCUCCUGGGCUGCCACUUGACCUCUGGCUCCCCAUGGGGGACGGGGGCAUGGCGGGGGAGGGCUGGCAGCUGUGCGGACUCCUCCGACACCACAGGAGACAGAUGUUACUCCAGGGAGGAGGGAUGCAACAUUCCUCUGGAACUUGGGUACUACUUUUUCCAAAGACGUGUUGGGAGCGUUAUCACCCAGACACCCGUGCCAGUUGCCUCCCUCCGCUCUGGCCCCAGGACAGCUCGGGAAGACCCGGAGUUCUCAGCUCGGCUCCACCAUCCCUUCCUUAUCCCUUCCCGUCCGGUCCAAACGUCACCUCCUCUGUGGAGCCUUCCCGGAAACUCCAGGAGCCUCCGCAUCCCUCCCCGCCCAGCAUCCCGAGCCCCCACCUCUCCCAGGGCGUGGGACGGCCUCGCGCGUGGCGGGUGCGCGCCCCCGGCCGCGCGUUUCCCUCCCCGCACCACCGGCGCCCCCCGAGCCCCGGGGCUGACGGCCGCGCGGAGGUCGAGGUGCGGCCGCGUUUUCCGCCCGCCCGCCCGCUGGCAGCGCGGCGCGGCGGCCCGAGGACCGCGAGGCCAAGUGAGCGCGCGCCUGCCCCCCGCCGCGCCAGGCCCCGCCCUCCCGCGCCCGCCCCAGCGCCGGCCCCUUUUGUUCCCUCCCGGAGCCGGGCCGCUCGCUCCGCUCCCGCUCGGCUCGGCUCGGCUCGGCUCGGCUCGGCCGCGGGGCGCGCCGGCGGCGGCUGGGGCUGGGGCUGGGGCUGGGGCUGGGGCUGCGCUGGGGCUGGGGCUGCUCGGUCCGCGCCGCCCGCCUCCCCGCCGCCGCCCGCACGCCAGGCCCGGCCCGGAGCGCGAGCGCGGAGCCCCGGCGCCGGGAGGGGCCGCAGCAUCGUCUCCCCCGCGGCGCCCCGGCCCGGAGCGGAGGAGGAGGAGGCCGGGCUGCGAGCCGCCCGCCGCGGGGGCCCAGGUAGGAGCCGCCGGAGGCCCCCGGGGAGGCGGCUGGCCGGGCAACAAAGGAGCGGGGGCCGCGGGAGGCGGCGGGGCCUGGGCUGCAGCGGGGCGGCCGCCCGCGGGCAUUGGCGGGCGGGGGCGGGGGCGGGCGCGGGGGCGCGGGCGAGGGCGCGGGCGCGGGCGAGGGCGAGGGCGAGGGCCGCCCCGGCCGCACCCCACUGCCCCGGCGCCCGCGGGCGAGGAGGGGACGCGCCUGGCGUGGGGGCUCCCGGGCAGCGGGGCCCUCCCUCCGCGGGGCACCGCCGGCACCCGGGCUCGGCGCAGCGGCGGGGGGGCGGCCGGAGGCGCCGCAGGGGUGGGCAGGGGUGGGCAGGGGUGGGGGCGCCCGGCCCGGUGGGCGCGGCCGCGCAGCACCCCCUCUGCAGACCCCGGGCCUGGGGGAACACGGAGCCCGCGCCCCCCGCUGGGGUCGCCCGCCCGGUCGCCUUUGCAAAACUUGGUUGA